AUUGAACGCUGGCGGCAGGCCUAACACAUGCAAGUCGAACGGUAACAGGAAACAGCUUGCUGUUUCGCUGACGAGUGGCGGACGGGUGAGUAAUGUCUGGGAAACUGCCUGAUGGAGGGGGAUAACUACUGGAAACGGUAGCUAAUACCGCAUAACGUCGCAAGACCAAAGAGGGGGACCCUCGGGCCUCUUGCCAUCGGAUGUGCCCAGAUGGGAUUAGCUUGUUGGUGGGGUAACGGCUCACCAAGGCGACGAUCCCUAGCUGGUCUGAGAGGAUGACCAGCCACACUGGAACUGAGACACGGUCCAGAGUCCUACGGGAGGCAGCAGUGGGGAAUAUUGCACAAUGGGCGCAAGCCUGAUGCAGCCAUGCCGCGUGUAUGAAGAAGGCCUUCGGGUUGUAAAGUACUUUCAGCGGGGAGGAAGGGAGUAAAGUUAAUACCUUAGCUCAUUGACGUUACCCGCAGAAGAAGCACCGGCUAACUCCGUG
rnacentral:rRNA from 1 species